GGCAUCUUCUGGUGGGUGCAGGACCCGACGGAGGAGUGAUGAGAGCUCAGGACCACGCCCAGGCUCUUCCCGCGGCCACCACAGAGGCAGCCAGCCUGCAGGCUUGGCCAACGGGUAGCAGCGACGACGCUGCGCUUGGAAGAGGCUGUGAGGGGAGUCAUGCAUAAAGUCUGUAACUGGAGAACCCUGACUGCCAGUCGAUUCCACUCUGGACUCAAUUUCGCAAGUCAAGGGGUGAGGAACGGGGUUUCAGGAAAGGCCAAAGGGUCUAUUUGUUUAUGAUAAAUGUUUUGAGUAUCUGUCAUAAAAUGUGACCAAGCCUGUCUUAUUCUUUGAAUAGCUGAUUUCCCUGUUUUAUCUCCCCUCCAAGUUAUUUUCAUACAUUUUCACAGAUAACUGCGAUAAUUUUUCCUGACCUGCGAUUUCUGAAGUUCAUAUGAUGGAAUUCUGUGUGACCCUGGAGUCUGGCGUGAGGAGGAAUAACAGGGCUUCCUCCCAGCCAAGGGCUCUUUAAUGCCCAGCCUGGGGUGGCCCAGAAAUCUUGCAGCGAAUCUACAGAUGGGCUGUGACGGGGUCAAAUGGAAACUCGUUCAGGACGUUGCUCGUGCCAUGUAGUGCUCUUACCCCUGUCACUUUGAUAAGGAAUAGGGUUUUUUCCCCCCCUAUAGAUUUUUAAGAUGAUUUUGUGCCUCAGGUUUACUUAUGUUUUAAGAAAUAUUUUCCAAGAUAAAGUAUUUUUUUUCCACUUGGAAUAAGGAAUGUUUGUUGAGAUUCAUUCGGCAUUGUUUCAGCGGACCGCUCCCCGCUUGACCCCUGCCGCCCCCAGGAGAGCGUUUGGAUUGGAG
rnacentral:lncRNA from 13 species